UCCUCCAGAAGGUAAAGAAACAAUAAGAAGAGUGAGACUAUUAUCGAAUGAACAAUAUUUCAACACAUCAUGUAGCUUCCACAAGUUGAAAAAUAAUAAU